rnacentral:rRNA from 1 species
GGGGGCAACCCCUUGAGAGUGGCGAACGGGUGAGUAAUAUAUCGGAACGUGCCCAGUCGUGGGGGAUAACGUAGUGAAAAUUACGCUAAUACCGCAUACGAUCUAAGGAUGAAAGCGGGGGAUCGCAAGACCUCGCGCGACUGGAGCGGCCGAUAUCAGAUUAGGUAGUUGGUAGGGUAAAGGCCUACCAAGCCAACGAUCUGUAGCUGGUCUGAGAGGACGACCAGCCACACUGGAACUGAGACACGGUCCAGACUCCUACGGGAGGCAGCAGUGGGGAAUUUUGGACAAUGGGCGAAAGCCUGAUCCAGCCAUUCCGCGUGCAGGAUGAAGGCCCUCGGGUUGUAAACUGCUUUUGUACAGAACGAAAAGGUCUCUAUUAAUACUAGGGGCUCAUGACGGUACUGUAAGAAUAAGCACCGGCUAACUACGUGCCAGCAGCUGCGGUAAUACGUAGGGUGCAAGCGUUAAUCGGAAUUACUGGGCGUAAAGCGUGCGCAGGCGGUUAUAUAAGUCAGAUGUGAAAUCCCCGGGCUCAACCUGGGAACUGCAUUUGAGACUGUAUAGCUAGAGUACGGUAGAGGGGGAUGGAAUUCCGCGUGUAGCAGUGAAAUGCGUAGAUAUGCGGAGGAACACCGAUGGCGAAGGCAAUCCCCUGGACCUGUACUGACGCUCAUGCACGAAAGCGUGGGGAGCAAACAGGAUUAGAUACCCCGGUAGUCCACGCCCUAAACGAUGUCAACUGGUUGUUGGGUCUUAACUGACUCAGUAACGAAGCUAACGCGUGAAGUUGACCGCCUGGGGA